CCAGAGGGAGUCUCUCUCUGUUAAACAUCAAUAGUUUACUGCCUUUGGAUCUGUUACCCAGGAGGAAGUGUAACUGAGAGAAGUGAAAUACAGAUCUAAGAGGAGACAGAGAGAUUCAGGGAGGAGCUAAGAUGUUCCUGAACUAUAGAAGAGAGAGGAACUUCCAUAUUCACCAGAGUUCAACACAGACCAUCAUCAUCACCUUCAUUCAACAUGCUGUCAUUACAUCAUUGUGUCACUUUUUUCUUUUUAGUUUCAGUCUUAAGAGUCAGCUGUGAAGAUCUCACUCCAUCAAAGCAAGAAGAGUUCAGUCCAGAAGGCAGCACUGUUACUCUGUCCUACAGAUACUCCAAAACUAUAGCAGCUAAUGAUUAUUUCUACUGGUAUCGACAAUAUCCAGGAAAACCACCAGAGUUCCUCAUCCUUCACUGGGGAACAACACCUGCAUCAAACUCUCGACUGUCCGUUAAAUCGGAUGAGGAUAAAACCCAGAUCUAUCUGAGCAUCUCCUCUGCUGCAGUGACAGACUCUGCUGUGUACUACUGUGCUGUGCAGCCCACAGUGACAGGAAACACCAACACUCUGUACAAAAACCUUUGGAGCAAAGACAACACAGUACUGCACUACAUCCACCAGAGGGAGUCUCUCUCUGUUCACCUUCAGCAGGAUGUGAUGAUACAGUCUAGAUUAGAUUCUCUCAGACUCACAGCUGUGAUGAAGAGCUCCAGAAACUCAUUGGACAUCUGAGUCUCC